AUUAAGAUGGCGGAGGGUGGAGGGAUUUCUUCCCGCACAAUCGACUUCGCGUAUCACGAUUGACGUGUCAUUACGAGUCGCGAUCUUCGCUCGAACGAGUGUUGACAGAUACGGGUUCAAACGAAUUGCAACGCAAGGUUGAUACGUGUUAUAUUUACCAAUUAAGAGAUUCGCGAUGCCACUUAUUCAGGAGCCGGUCCAUGUUGCGUCCGUUACGUUCUAACAGCGAUACGCAAAAAGGUGGAGUGAAACGGCUUCGUCAUUCUCGCGUGGUCAACUUCACGCGUCAAAAGUGACGCCGCGUCGCGCGGUUAACUUCACGCGCCAAAAGUAACGCCGCCGCGCGGUUGGUACGCUGAAUCCUUUUGCAGUAUCCUUGCUGCCAGCCAUCUUCCUCGUACAGCACGAGGUGCAAAAAGAUUUGGUACUGGCAUCACUGGAUACGCGUCCUUACAUGUCCAUUGUCCUAAACGAAUAAUUGAUAAUGCAACGACUGUCUUUUUCCGAUAUUGCGAGUAACACCGUAACACGUAAUAUUAUCCAGUAUAUGGAAAAUGCACGAGCGCAAUGUUAAUUUAAAUUGGGUAAUGAAAACUUAACCCAAGUUCCAAUGCACGUAAUAGUAUGUCACUACAAAAUGUGUAAACUUUUACAUAAGAUUUAUUCGAAGCUGUGGCACAUGACUAAGAAUGUGCAUAGCUAACAGAUUUGCUAUGCUGGAAGUUAAACUCCUGCUAUUUCAUUUACUAGCGUGAUGUGAGCUGAAAUCUUGUGCAAAAACUCCGUCCCUAAUAAAAUUUUUACAAAAGUCUGAUAAUGAUGCUGGAGAAUGGAUUAUGGUUUAAUAUUCAUCGUAGAAAAGAUAUACAUCCUAUGUUGAACUCUGUAAUAAGGCUAAAUCUCAAAAAACGUUUUAAAUCAUAAUAAGAUAUUAAGUUUGUAAUAAAAAUCAUUUUUGUGA